GACGAACGCUGGCGGCGUGCUUAACACAUGCAAGUCGAACGGAAAGGCCCUGCUUUUGUGGGGUGCUCGAGUGGCGAACGCGUGAGUAACACGUGAGUAACCUGCCCUUGUCUUUGGGAUAACUUCAGGAAACUGGGGCUAAUACCGGAUAGGAGCUCCUGCUGCAUGGUGUGGGUUGGAAAGUUUCGGCGGUUGGGGAUGGACUCGCGGCUUAUCAGCUGGUUGGGGGGGUAGUGGCUUAGCAAGGUUUGACGGGUAGCCGGCCUGAGAGGGUGACCGGCCACAUUGGGACUGAGAUACGGCCCAGACUCCUACGGGAGGCAGCAGUGGGGAAUAUUGCACAAUGGGCGGACGCCUGAUGCAACAACGCCGCGUGCGGGAUGACGGCCUUCGGGUUGUAAACCGCUUUCGCCUGUGACGAAGCGUGAGUGACGGUAAUGGGUAAAGAAGCACCGGCUAACUACGUG
rnacentral:rRNA from 1 species